GCCCCUAUAGCUCAGUUGGUAGAGCUACGGACUUUUAAUCCGCAGGUCCCAGGUUCGAGUCCUGGUGGGGGCAC
rnacentral:tRNA from 12 species